UACAGAGGGGGGCAAGCGUUAUUCGGAAUUAUUGGGCGUAAAGGGCGCGUAGGCGGCUUGGCAAGUGGAUGGUGAAAUCCCUCGGCUUAACCGAGGAACUGCCGUCCAAACUGCUUAGCUUGAGACCGGGAGAGGUGAGUGGAAUUCCCAGUGUAGCGGUGAAAUGCGUAGAUAUUGGGAGGAACACCAGUGGCGAAGGCGGCUCACUGGACCGGUACUGACGCUGAUGCGCGAAAGCGUGGGGAGCAAACGGG
rnacentral:rRNA from 1 species